ensembl:lncRNA
AUGUCCAGAAGAAAGCAGGCCAAACCGCGCUCCGUUAAAGCGGUUGAAGAAGGAGAGUCCUCGGAAGGUGGAGGGACCUGGGACGAGACGGUUGUCCAGACAGAAGUUCCUGGAAGAGAGGCGGAACCCAAAGACGGUCCGCCGCCGGCCGCCGAAGACGGGGAUCAGGAGGAGCACGACGAGCGCGAGCCCGACGAAGACCUGGACGACGAGUCCAUCUUCACCUGCGACAACUGUCAACAGGACUUCGACUGUCUGGCCGAGCUCACCGAGCACAGGACCAACCACUGCCCGGCGGAUGGGGACGAUGACCCCACGGGCCUGUCCUGGGUGCCCUCCUCACCCUCCAGUAAAGACGUGGCGUCACCCUCACAGAUGCCAGACGGCUGCUGUGACCUUGGCACAGCCACUGGCGGCGAGGAGGAAGGAGGCGCCGGUCUGCCGUACCCCUGCCAGUUCUGUGACAAGUCCUUCAGCCGCCUGAGUUACCUGAAGCGACACGAGCAGAUCCACAGCGACAAGCUGCCUUUCAAGUGUACCUUCUGCAGCCGCCUCUUUAAACACAAGAGGAGCCGAGACCGGCACGUGAAGCUUCACACUGGAGAUAAGAAAUACAGUUGCCAGGAGUGUGAAGCUGCUUUUUCUCGCUCCGACCACCUAAAGAUUCAUCUUAAGACCCAUAGCUCCAGCAAACCGUUUAAGUGCACCGUGUGCAAGCGUGGCUUCUCCUCCACCUCAUCCCUGCAGAGCCACAUGCAGGCUCACCGUAAAAACAGAGAGCACCUCGCGCUGAGGAGCGAGAGGGAAGGAGGGAAGAAAGGAGGGGAGGCUGACCUGGACCAGGACCUCUACAUGUGCGAUUACUGCGAGGAGACGUUCAGCCAGACGGACGAGUUAGAAAAACACGUCUUAACCAGGCACCCGCAGCUGUCCGACCGCGCCGACCUGCAAUGCAUCCACUGUCCGGAGAUCUUCCUGGACGAGGCCUCGCUGCUCACGCACAUCGAAACGCAGCACGCCAACCGCAAACACAAAUGCCCCGUCUGCUCAGAACAGUUCCCCUCUGUGGAGGACGUCUACUGCCACCUAGACAGUCACCGUCAGCCCGAUUCCUCCAUCCACAGCGCUGCCAGUCCUGACCCGGCUCUUGGCAGCGUGGCUUCCAUGAGCUCAGCCACUCCGGACUCCAGCGCCAGUCUGGAAAGAGGCUCCACGCCGGACUCUACCUUAAAACACAGCCAGGGUAGUGAACGCGGUCCAGGAAUUUGGGGCAAAGUGACGUACUCUUGCCCCUAUUGCUCAAAGAGAGACUUCCACAGUCUCGCUGUGCUGGAGAUUCACUUGAAGACCAUCCAUGCUGAUAAGCCACAGCAGAGCCACACGUGUCAGCUCUGCCUGGAAACUCUGCCCACCCUCUACAACCUCAACGAGCACGUCCGCAAAGCCCACCGCGCCAGCGGAGGGAGCGCAGGCGCCGCGGCGGCAGCUUUCCCCCUGAUGCAGUUUAGCAACGUCACAGCUUUCCACUGCAACUACUGCCCAGACAUGUUCGGGGACAUCAACUCUCUGCAAGAGCACAUCAGGGUGUCCCACUGCCUAUCGGGUGGGAUUAUGGCAGGAUCCACCACUCUAGAAGGGAACCAUGCCUUCUUCUGCAACCAGUGCUCAAUGGGUUUUCUGACCGAGUCUUCAUUGACGGAGCACAUUCAGCAGACACAUUGCACCUCUGCCACCGGGGGCAGCACUGCAUCCGGAGGGGGGGUGGCCAAACUGGAGUCCCCAGUCCUUCAGGCUGCAUCACAGUCUUUCAUGGAGGUUUACUCCUGCCCUUACUGCACCAACUCCCCAAUCUUUGGAUCGCUCCUCAAACUGACCAAGCACAUUAAGGAGAACCACAAAAACAUCCCAUUAGCUAACAACAAGCGCCAAGCCAAGGUGGCUGACCUCAGCCCCGCCUCCUCAGACGUGGAGAUAUCCUCUCCCAACAACGGAGAUUAUCCGUGCAACCAGUGUGACCUGCGAUUUGGCAGUUUUGAGACGUUUCAGGCGCACCUGAAGUCACACCUGGAGAUGCUGUUGAGGCGCCAGUCCUGCCCCCAGUGCAGCAAAGAAGACUUUGAAUCCCAGGAUGCUUUGCUGCAACAUCUGACGGUGCACUACACCACGACAUCAACGCAGUAUGUCUGUGAGAGCUGCGACAAGCAGUUCUCCUCUGUGGAUGACCUACAGAAACACCUGCUGGACAUGCACACGUUUGUCCUGUACCACUGCACUCUCUGUCAGGAGGUCUUUGACUCCAAGGUUUCCAUACAGGUGCAUUUAGCAGUGAAACACAGCAACGAGAAGAAGCUGUUUCGCUGCACUGCCUGCGCCUGGGACUUCAGGAAGGAAGCAGACCUCCAGCUUCACGUUAAGCAUAAUCACCUGGGUCAAAGGUCAGGCCUUCCAGGAGGAUUGAAGCCCAGGAAGUGCAUCUUCUGUGGGGAGACGUUUGGGACAGAAGUGGAGCUCCAGUGUCACAUCACCACACACAGCAAGAAGUUUACGUGCCGCUUCUGCGGAAAGGCUUUCCACGCCAUCUCUUUGCUAGAGAGACACCUGAGAGAAAAGCACUGCAUCUUUGAUGGGGGAAUCACCGGCAACGGAGGAGGUACGGGCAGCAGUGGGAGCCAGAACGGAACCCCCAAUGGGUUGACUCAAGCCUCCAAAGCGAAGGUCGCGGCGGCCGAACAAGCCGACUUGCAAAACAUCCUGAAGGGUGGGAUUGUUGGUGGAGGGUCAGUCCAAGGAGGAGACACAGCCAACAGCCAUGAGGCGAGCGGCGGCGAGGAGGAGCUGGACAACUCUGAGCCCAUGUAUGCAUGUGACAUCUGUGGAGCAGCUUACACCAUGGAGUCCCUGCUGCAGAACCACCGGCUGCGCGACCACAACAUUCGACCAGGAGAGGACGAUGCGGGUUCUCGGAAGAAAAAGGCAGAUUUCAUCAAAGGGAACCACAAGUGCAACGUUUGCUCGAGGACUUUCUUCUCAGAGAAUGGACUUCGUGAGCACGCUCAGACGCAUCGCGGGCCUGCCAAACACUACAUGUGUCCAAUAUGUGGCGAGCGCUUCCCCUCUCUCCUAACGCUCACCGAACACAAGGUGACCCACAGUAAAAGCCUGGACACAGGGACCUGUCGCAUCUGUAAGAUGCCCCUGCAGAGUGAGGAGGAGUUCAUCGAGCAUUGCCAAAUGCACCCCGACCUCCGCAACUCGCUGACCGGCUUCCGUUGCGUCGUCUGCAUGCAGACGGUCACCUCCACCCUGGAGCUGAAGAUCCACGGCACCUUCCACAUGCAGAAGCUCUCCACCGGCUCUGCUCUAGGAGCAGGAGGUGUGGGCGGAGGGAACGGCUCGGCCUCGUCGUCCCCUAACGGGCAGCUGCAGCAGCACAAGUUGUACAAAUGCGCCUUUUGCCUCAAAGAGUUCAAAAAUAAAGGAGAGCUGGUGAAGCUGGACGUCAACGGCCUGCCGUACGGCCUCUGUGCUACGUGCAUGAGCAGGGGAACAAACGGCCAGAGCCCCAGCCAGGGAGGAGCGGUCACGCCCGGAGACACGCAGGCGGAGAAGGUUGCUUCCGGGCUGCGGUGUCCCGAGUGUGGCGUGAAGUUUGAAACCCCAGAGGAUCUGGAGAGCCACGUGCAGACAGACCACCCUGAGGUCAGCCCGGAAACCAGCGCUGUUGCAAAGAAGGCCGAGGCGUCACCGGUACCCAAGAAAAAGACCUACCAGUGUAUUAAAUGCCAAAUGACGUUCGAGACCGAAAGAGAGAUCCAGAUUCACGUGGCCAACCACAUGAUCGGUAAGUCGGAAGAGGGCAUCAAUCACGAGUGCAAGCUGUGCAACCAGAUGUUUGACUCACCUGCCAAGCUGCUCUGCCACCUGAUCGAGCACAGCUUCGAGGGGAUGGGGGGUACCUUUAAGUGUCCCGUCUGCUUCACAGUGUUUGUUCAAGCCAACAAACUGCAGCAGCACAUUUUUGCUGUUCACGGUCAGGAGGACAAGAUCUACGACUGCUCCCAGUGUCCGCAGAAGUUCUUCUUUCAGACAGAGCUUAAUCACACGUCAUCAGUUUGA